rnacentral:ncRNA from 1 species
AUGAGUUGUGGAUAGGAGUGAAAGGCUAAUCCAACUCGGAGAUAGCUGGUUCUCCUCGAAAGCUAUUUAGGUAGUGCCUCGAGUGAAUACUCAGGGGGGUAGAGCACUGUUUAGGCUAGGGGUCCAUCCCGGACUACCAACCCUAUGCAAACUCCGAAUACCCUGAAGUAAUACUCGGGAGACACACAGCGGGUGCUAACGUCCGUUGUGAAAAGGGAAAUAACCCAGACCAUCAUCUAAGGUCCCAAAGUUCCGGCUAAGUGGUGAACGAUGUGAGAAAGCAUAGACAGCCAGGAGGUUGGCUUAGAAGCAGCCAUCCUUUAAAGAAAGCGUAAUAGCUCACUGGUCUAGUUGGCUCGCGCGGAAGAUAUAACGGGGCUCAAGCCGGGCACCGAAGCUAUGGGUGUGCAUGCUCUUCGGGGCGUGUACGCGGUAGGGGAGCGUUCUGUAAGCCUGCGAAGGUGAACUGUGAGGUUUGCUGGAGGUAUCAGAAGUGCGAAUGCUGACAUGAGUAACGUUAAAGCGGGUGAAAAACCCGCUCGCCGUAAACCCAAGGUUUCCUGAGCCACGUUAAUCGGCUGAGGGUGAGUCGGUUCCUAAGGCGAGGCCGAAAGGCGUAGUC